GAAGUGGAAUAAAUUUUUUUAUUUUGGAAGUUUUAAUAUUAAAAAAGAAUUCGUAAUGUAAUAAUCAUAGUUGGUAGGCAACGAGGGAGAUUAGGCUAUGAUUUUUUUGACUUAGUUCUUUUUUGUAGGGGGAUAAAAUAGGUGCCAGUAAUCACGGUUAAACCUAUGUUCUAAAUAUUAAGAAAUAAUCGUAAAAAGUUGGUAAAUAAAUAUGAGAAAGGUAAAAUUUUAUAUGUAUUUGUUAAGAGGGAAUUAUAAGAAAGUGGAUUAGUACCCAAUUACUAAGUAAAUAGUAAGAAUUAUAUAUUAGAUUAAACUUAAAAAAUUAGACGGUACUUUAUAAACAGGGGAACUUGUUAUUUUAACUGAUAAUCCUCGUUAUAUUUUACUUAGAAAAGUUGUGUAUGUCCGUAAAUAAAUGGUAAAAUACUGUUUUAAAAGUUCAGGUCGCCAUGCUUAGUUCUUUGAAUUUAUGAGUUAUUAUAUAUUAAUAUGUGGAAAAAUUUUGAAAAAUUUUUGAAAAGCAGAUUUGUUAGUAAAAAGAAAUUAAUAAGUUGUUUUGAAAGUUUUUAAAGUGAGUACUUACCGCCCGCUACCAAAUGCGUAAGUAUUUGUAAGGCGUAACAAGGUAGUUGUUCUAGAAGGAGCAACUGGAGUUGGAAAAGUGG
rnacentral:rRNA from 1 species